UACGAAGGGGGCUAGCGUUGCUCGGAAUCACUGGGCGUAAAGCGCACGUAGGCGGCUUUCUAAGUCAGGGGGUGAAAUCCUGGAGCUCAACUCCAGAACUGCCUUUGAUACUGGAGAGCUUGAGUCCGGAAGAGGUGAGUGGAACUCCGAGUGUAGAGGUGAAAUUCGUAGAUAUUCGGAAGAACACCAGUGGCGAAGGCGGCUCACUGGUCCGGUACUGACGCUGAGGUGCGAAAGCGUGGGGAGCAAACAGGG
rnacentral:rRNA from 1 species